GGGUGUAGCUCAGUGGUAAGGUGCUUGCCUAGCAUGAGCAAGGCCUUUGGUUCAAUCCCCAACACCACA
rnacentral:tRNA from 1 species